rnacentral:misc_RNA from 1 species
GAUGAAGAACGUAGCGAAAUGCGAUAAGUAAUGUGAAUUGCAGAAUUCAGUGAAUCAUCGAAUCUUUGAACGCAUAUUGCGCCCUCUGGUAUUCCGGGGGGCAUGCCUGUUCGAGCGUCAUUUCAACCCUCGAACCCCUCCGGGGGGUCGGCGUUGGGGACCUCGGGAGCCCCUAAGACGGGAUCCCGGCCCCGAAAUACAGUGGCGGUCUCGCCGCAGCCUCUCCUGCGCAGUAGUUUGCACAACUCGCACCGGGAGCGCGGCGCGUCCACGUCCGUAAAACACCCAACUUCUGAAAUGUUGACCUCGGAUCAGGUAGGAAUACCCGCUGAACUUAAGCAUAUCAAUAAGCGGAGGA